CCCGGGGUGGAGCAGUGGUAGCUCGCCAGGCUCAUAACCUGGAGGUCACAGGUUCAAAUCCUGUCCCCGGAA
rnacentral:tRNA from 1 species